GUACAUGUCGACUAAGCAUGUUGAGUUACGGAGACUGACGAGUCGUACGAGUCAAUCGUAGUAGCCAAUUUGGCCAAUGUCACGUGCAUUGCCUCGGCGAAUCUGAGGAUAAUCCGCGAUAGGCCAUGAUUUCUGGAAUGGUUCAUGUUAUGAUUUCUAUGUGCGCCCUGUUAUUGCACUGCGACCGAUCAGGCUGUUGGUGAAGUAAUGUUCCACCACAUCUGUAACCGCUACGUUUUCUGAGAUGAGGAACCCGGAGAUAGGCACUGACACAUGGCCCUUCGCCCUAUGUGGCGCACCAGGCUCGAAAUCUCUGCCAUACUGUAAAGCUUGACUGGGUUACUCUGAGUGGUUCCCGUUAAGGCAGAUCUUUUGCCACCUUUAAAAAUGGUGCUAAAUACCGCUUGUUUCACUCUGUUCGUCUUCCUUCUCGCUAAUAUCAGCACCUUUAGUGGUCGAGAUCAUUAUUGGGCCUACCCUUUCCGUAUCCGAUACUGCGAUUCUUCCGUUAUCUCACACCUGCUUAAUUGAUGAGCUGCGUGGUAUACUACAGCGCUCGUACGCGUGAUAGACAAGCUUUACUCACUUGGAUAGUGGUAAAAUCCGCUGAUUCAUUGAAGACCAUUAUUGCCAAAUGCAACUUGACUCAACGCUAUCUACGUCGAUUCAUGUGAUCUGGGAGAGACUAUCGCAAUAUAUACCCAGUUAUUCCCAGCUGUAAUCGAUGCACACUCAUUGAUGGCCUGUUCUUUCAAAUUCCCGGCCCACAGGCUACUCAUUAAAUCUGACCACGUAAAAAUCCCGUCGGCAAAAUCAAUCUUUAACCAAUUGAAAUGUCACUACUGGGCUU
rnacentral:rRNA from 1 species